CAGCCGCCGCGUAAUACCGAGGGUGCGAGCGUUAAUCGGAUUUACUGGGCGUAAAGCGUGCGUAGGCGGCUUCUUAAGUCGGAUGUGAAAUCCCUGAGCUUAACUUAGGAAUUGCAUUCGAUACUGGGAAGCUAGAGUAUGGGAGAGGAUGGUAGAAUUCCAGGUGUAGCGGUGAAAUGCGUAGAGAUCUGGAGGAAUACCGAUGGCGAAGGCAGCCAUCUGGCCUAAUACUGACGCUGAGGUACGAAAGCAUGGGGAGCAAACAGGAUUAGAUACCCCCGUAGUCCCUGUCUCUUAUACA
rnacentral:rRNA from 1 species